rnacentral:rRNA from 1 species
AUUGAACGCUGGCGGCAGGCCUAACACAUGCAAGUCGCACGAGUGGCGGACGGGUGAGUCAUGUCUGGGAAACUGCCUGCUGGAGGGUGAUACCUACUGGAAACGGUAGCUAAUACCGCAUACCCUCAGAUUUGCCCAGAUGGGAUUAGCUAUUUGGUGGGGUAACGGCUCACCAAGGCGACGAUCCCUAGCUGGUCUGAGAGGAUGACCAGCCACACUGGAACUGUGACACUGUCCAGACUCCUACGGGAGGCAGCAGUGGGGAAUAUUGCACAAUGGGCGCAAGCCUGAUGCAGCCAUGCCGCGUGUAUGAAGAAGGCCUUCGGGUUGUAAAGUACUGGCAGCGUGGAGGCGUUACCCGCAGAAGAAGCACCGGCUAACUCCGUGCCAGCAGCCGCGGUAAUAC